rnacentral:misc_RNA from 1 species
GAUGAAGAACGUAGCGAAAUGCGAUAAGUAAUGUGAAUUGCAGAAUUCAGUGAAUCAUCGAAUCUUUGAACGCACCUUGCGCCCUUUGGCUAUUCCGAAGGGCAUGCCUGUUUGAGUGUCAUGAACACCUCAACUCUCAUGGUUCGCCAUGAUGAGCUUGGACUCUGGGGGUCUUGCUGGCCUAUGGUCAGCUCCUCUCAAAUAAAUCAGCUUGCCAGUGUUUGGUGGCAUCACAGGUGUGAUAACUAUCUACGCUUGUGGUUUUCCAUCAGGUAACCUUCAGUGAUGGAGGUUCGCUGGAGCUCAUAAAUGUCCCUCCUCAGCGAGGACAGCUUUUUGAACGUUUGAUCUCAAAUCAGGUAGGACUACCCGCUGAACUUAAGCAUAUCAAUAAGCGGAGGA